rnacentral:tRNA from 1 species
GGGGCUGUAGCUCAGUGGCAGAGCACUUGCCUGGCAUGCUUGAAGCACUGGGUUCGAUCCUUAGCACCA